CCUACGGGAGGCUGCAGUAGGGAAUUUUGCGCAAUGGGCGAAAGCCUGACGCAGCAACGCCGCGUGAUCGAGACGCCCUUCGGGGUGUAAAGAUCUGUCAGUGGGGACGAUACUUGACGUUACCCACAGAGGAAGCACCGGCUAACUCCGGGCCAGCAGCCGCGGUAAUACGGGGGGUGCAGGCGUUUUCCGGAAUAAUUGGGCGUAAAGAGUCCGUAGGCGGCACGUAAAGUCUGGUGUUAAAGGCAGAGGCUCAACUUCUGUACGGCACUGGGAACUUGCGAGCUAGAAUGCGGAGAAGGUAGAGGGAAUUCCUGGUGUAGCGGUGAAAUGCUUAGAUAUCAGGAGGAACAUCGAUGGCGUAGGCACUUUGCUGAGCCGUAAUUGACGCUGAGGAACGAAAGCCAGGGUAGCGAAUGGGAUUAGAUACCCUUGUAGUC
rnacentral:rRNA from 1 species